UGCCUGUUUAUCAAAAACAUGUUCUUUAGGUUUUAUUUAAGGUUUCGCCUGCUCAAUGAUUAAUUUUAAAUAGCCGCGGUAAUUUAACUGUGCUAAGGUAGCGUAAUAAUUAGUCUUUUAAUUGGGGUCUUGUAUGAAUGGUUGGACAAGAAGAUUUCUUUAUUUAAUUUAUUUUUUUAAUUUAAUUUUUUAGUUAAAAAGCUUUAAUUAUUAAUUGGGACGAUAAGACCCUGUAGAUCUUUAAAAUUGAUUUUAAUAAUUUUUUUUGUUUAUUUAGUUUUUAUUUUUAUUAAUUUUUUGGUUGGGGUGAUUUUUAAAUUUUUAUUACUUUAUUUUUUUUUUACAUUUAUUUAUGUUUAAUUGAUCUUUAAUUUUUGAUUUUUAGAUUAAGAUACCUCAGGGAUAACAGCGUUUAUUUUUUGGAAAGUUCUUAUUGAUAAAUUAAAUUGCGACCUCGAUGUUGGAUUAAUAUAAGUUUUUGGUGUAGAUGAUAAUUAACUAGGUCUGUUCGACUUUAAAAUUUUACAUGAUCUGAGUUCAGACCGG
rnacentral:rRNA from 1 species